AAGCCAUGAAUCGGUCCUUGCUGCAGAACCUGCUGCCCUCCAGCGAAGAGCCGAGGUAGCGCCUCUGGCGGCUCUCGUACAGGAGAAGGGCAAGACCCGUCCUGUCCCCUGGGCAUUCCCUUCCCACAACUGAGCUUCAUGGAAUUCCUGAGCCUUCCCCACUGCCCUGGUUCCCACUACUACCAAAGCCCCCAGUGUCUCACCUAAGCUGAGCUACCCUGUCAGCCCGCGGUCACACACCUGAGGUCCUACAACUCAGAAGAGGCGGAGGGAGCCCUUCCAGAUUCCCUGUCCUGGUGAUCUGCUCCCGAAGGUACUCCAUGUCCUCCUCCAGCUUCAACUGUGGAACACACAAACCGCAGGAU